AAUAAAUUGUUAAAUUUGUGAGAACGUAGACUCGAUGUUCCUCCGGCGAGAGAGAAUACGGCGAAAAAGAACAAAAGAUAUAUGAAUCCGGUGAACCCAAUCAUGAAUCCGGCGAACCUGAUCGAUUCUGAAGUGGAGACGAAUCAUAACCUGAAAUUGAGAGAGAAUACGUUCUUCUUCCAUCUGCCGUGUCGUUUUACCUUCCGACACCUAUAUGACCGCCAAGCUCCAUCUCCGAUCUAGCGUCGUUCUCAAUGUGAUGGAGAACGAUGUGAUUCUCGGUGGGCAUGUGCAUCCAGGAUCGAGGAUUAUUAUUCGGAGGAGACUUUGUCGGAUUGGUACGUGGUUGUGGCCAACAACGCGACUAACAUUGCAAUCUUCAGCAGAGGAGCGAUUGAUGGGCAAAGGUCAUGUGCUCAGCGAAGAGGAACGCGCGAAAGAGAGCAUGUACAUUCAGUCUUGUUCAUGAGGUUAUUUCUCUUCUAGUUUACAACUCCACUUCUAAGAACCAUCACUAGCACCUACUACAGAUGAGCUCAUGAUAUCUUCAUUGUGUAUGAUUGUAAUGAGAUGGAAAGCUUCAAUAGAUUGUGUAUGAUUAUAAGAAGGGUCUGAAUCAAACAUUCAUGAAGGAUUCCCAUACAAUUAGGAAGGCUUUAUAGAGUUUCAGGAAGGCCUUCAUGGAAAAAUAAAUUCAUGAGGGAUUUCAUAACUAGUGUUAUCUCCCAACCGUGCCUGCAAAUCCCAAUCUAGGCUUAGAGGUGAAUGUUUUCUCUGUAUGGUUAUCAGAUUCAUGGGAAUUUCACAUUGUUAUUUCUGUUUUGGUUGUUCUUAUCAAUGCAGAGUUCUCAUGUCGGUCUAGCUAAGAAACACAGUCUCCACGUUUCCAAGCGAUAUUGCACGUCACAAGUGGUAGGAAGAAGAAAGGUCAGAACAUCAAGAGCUUCUCUCAUGAAAAAAUUCAGGAAGGAAUUCAUGAAAAUUCAGAAAGAUAUCUCUGAAAUUCAGGAUGGCCUUCAUAAAAUAUUUGAGUCUUUUUUCUUUUCUUGGACAAACUUUUUUUUGGACAAACAAAUAUUUGAGUCUCUUUAAACA